rnacentral:lncRNA from 1 species
CUCCUUUUUAUAUAUAUAUACCCAAAAACGCAUUGCUCUUGACAACACUCAGCGCUCUUAGCAGACUACAGGUUCCCAGAAUCCUUUGUGGAAAGGCAUGGCAAAGGUGCAUUGAACGUAAAGGGUGCAAAUAUGGCCAGCGUUUCCGUUCGACACCCUAUAUAGAGAGAGAACAAAUCAAGUUUACAUUUGCCUAAAGCCCUAAAUAAUACCCUGACCCAGGCAGCAUACGCUACCUUCCACAACUUAAGUUUGGAUUUUCGCCCCCUCAUGGGCCUGAGCUUGCCUGUAGCUGCCUAGUUUCUGGCUCCUCCUUCCACCUCCGUCCUUCCAGUUACCAAGGCCGCUCUGGCUCUCAGUCAUCCUCCAUUCCAACCCAAGCUGAGGAGAUGAUCGGCCCGUCAGCCUCCAAACAGCCAUCUUUUCCUGCUCUACUUUAGAGGCCAGACAAGGCAGCAGGUAAGCAAGGCCGAGAGGGAGGAACAAGGUGGUUGUGUUCAAGCUGGAAGGAUCAAACUACUGGAGAGUUUCAGGCCUGAGAGAAGCCAGAGGAGAGUGUGGGAUGAGGCCAUGUUGGCUGAGUUGUCAUGUAGCUCCUGCUACAGAGCAAACCUCCAAGGGUUAGGCCCUUCUAUACCCAGAAGGGUUGCUGUGGCCCGCAGGAGAGUUUCUCCUUCAACAAUUUCAGAAGCCAUCAUUAUAAGAAUUCGAAGGUCUCAGAUAUAGAAUAAAGGUCCAUAAUGUACAAGGCAAACACACAUGCAUAAGUAAGUAAGUAAGUAAGUAAGUAAGUAAGUAAGUAUAUAAGCCAUGGGUUUGAAAUGGCUUCAGGAGAGCAUUUUGGACUCUCCCAAAUUUACCUCAAAUAUUUCUCUGCAAGGAGGAAGGAAAUGGGAAAAGCUUUCUGAUGGUCUUUGGAGGGUAGGGGGUUACACCCCCCUUUUUGAAUGCAGUUUGGCAAGUAUCUGUUAAGCUGAGCAAACUAUCAAUAUGUGAGAGAGAUUCAGGAACUAAAGGCUCAAAGGAAUAGCCAGGCUACCCAGAAAAUGCAAUCAAGUAAGGCAUUAUCAGGUAUCCUGGCAGACAGGAGAGAAGCAACACUCUCAAUUUUCUGCUGGAGAUAUUUUGGGGGGUGGUUUUGGGCUACAAGGUGGACAGUAUUCAAAGUCUUUAUAGGGUCUUGAGCACCAUUGUUCUGGGUCUCUCCUACCUCCUUGCAAGGAUUGGGGGGGGGGGACUCUGUUGCAACAGAAAAAAAGAUCUGCCUUGCUUCCUAUGGAUCUUGCCUCCAUUCACUCAUAUCUGAUCAUGGACUUAGGGGACUCAGUCCCUUGGGGAGUUGGGCAUCAAAAGCCAACCCCCAUAUUUUUUCUGUAACACCUACUCUGCAGUAACAUCAGCGUGGCUGCCGCCAUUUUAUGUAACAGCAUUCCUAUCAAGAUAUGACCCAUGCCAACUUUCUGCACUUUCCGUUAACAAUUGAAUACGUUUUUGUGUGUGACAAUCUUUCCCAGUGGGAUGAAUGGGCCUCUGCCAUGGGUGGCUAGUUAUAUGUACUGUGUGGUUUUUAAAAGACAUUUGCUAUUGUUUCCUGUAGUGUUUUUAACUUUCUUUUAGCUGCUUUUAUUAUGUUUCGUACAUUGCCUUGAAAUAUAUAUGUGGAAGGCAAUUAAUAGAGGGGAGGGGCAGGCAUCUGCCAUGGGUCCAUUGAUAAUAGCUCCUUGGAUCUGUUCUUCUCCACCCAUUGCACCUUGCAGACAAAAGAUGAAAUCUCAUUCGUUUACCAAAUCUCUCCAGAAAUCUGAAUGUAAGGCUGUUUCCCUUUAACUAGGAUGCAUGGUAAUUCCCUGCAGUUGCAGCUAACUCCAGCUGCUUUCUAUCAGAGUCCCUACCAGCAGCCUCUGUGGAAUUGGGGCCCUGAUUCUGCACCCAAGUAAGUAAGAAACACAGGGUACUCUAGGGCUCAUUUGCAGCCCUUGUGGGGUUUGGGGGAGCGUGGUUGUUUGAUGGAAAAAGCAUUAGCCAAGUGAGGGAGUGGAGGAAGCAAAAGACAAGACGUUUGAAGUUCCUGUGAAAGGGUGCACAGUUCUGACUCCCAUUGAUAUGGCUCAGCUGGAUACCUGUCAGCAGAUGGCGAUGCAGCACAAGCUACCAAAUACUAGUUCCAUGCGUUUUAGUCUGAGAUAACUGAGAGUAGCAGUGGGCUGCUAUUUCACCCUGUGGCUGUUUCUCCACCUUUCCCCACUCCAAGGUGCUUCGUUAGACUCCUGAGAAAGUUUGCUGCUUAAACCUGUAACACUUCUAAUUUGAAAACAGCAUGGCAAGCAAUACUAGAGAAUUAUGAAACAUGCUUUUUUUGUAUUAGCUGAUCAAAAUAAAAGGGGUUCUAGAUAUUUUUAAGUUUAUUUAUUUAAAAACAUUUCUAAACCACUUACUAUUAUUAUUUUAACCUCUAAGUAGUAUGCAAAAAUACAACAGCACCAAAACAAUAAAAAAAAAUUCCUUCCAGUAGCACCUUAGAGACCAACUAAGUUUGUUAUUGGUAUGAGCUUUCGUGUGCAUGCACACUUCUUCAGAUACCAAAACAAUAAGACAGCAUUAUUAAAAAAGGGAAUUCAGUAACAAGAAGAUCCAACUUUACGGUUCAGGGAAAGCCUGACUUUGGUAUCAUGUAUGAUGUGCAAGACAUUUGAAGCAGCUAACAGUUGCUGCUUCAUGUGUGGAAGUAACAGGGCAUUCCACAGUUUGUGGGCAAAGGCAGAAAACACCUGUUUUCAGGUUAUAAUCUACAGGGUGAUAAUCUAUAGGGUGUGGUGUCACAAGUAAAAUUUCCCCAGAUGAUCUAAGUGAUUUUAUAGGUCUAUAUAGGGGCAGGUGGUCUUUUGGGUAACUUGGUACCAAGGUCUUCAGGUGUUAUAUAUGAGUAACAAGACCAUGCAAAUGGUCUGUUAGGUGACUGAUAGGCAGUGUUAUUUGUACUUGCACCAUCCUCUCCAUUCUGUUCCUUAUUUGGGACCCAAAUUCUUAUUCUUUCCCGCAUCUAUGGCUAUAGCUUCCACUUUUCUAAUGAUGAUCAUUUACAUGUCUAUUCGUUUUAUGCACUGUUUUGGGAGUCAUACAAUACUUUUUAAAGUGUUGGCCUAGCUGAAGGUGAUUUGUUCUUGGCUUCAGGUAGCAAAAUGUUUUGGGCAGGCACUGUCUUCUGUCUAGGGUUGCGCAUCUUUCUAUAUUUGCAACUUCACAGACAAGAUCGAAUGAAACUACAGUGGUACCUUGGUUUAAGAACAGCUUAGUUUAUGAACAACUUGGAUUAAGAACGCUGCAAACCCAGAAGUAGGUGUUUUGGUUUGUGAACUUUGCCUUGGAAGCAGAACAUGUUUUGCUUCCUGUUGAGUGUGUUCCAUUUGUAAAUUGAGUCCCCCCGCUGCUAUGGGAAAGCACGCCUUGGUUUAAGAACAGACUUCCAGAACGUAUUAAGUUCAUAAACCAAGGUACCACUGUGUGCUGUUAAUUCCCUUUAUUUUAAGCAUCACUUGUGUUUAUUCUUUUUAUAUAGUAGCCACAGGCAAAUGUACCUUUUAGCUCCUCUCCCCUGCCCAAUGAUCUAAGUUUCCUUUGGGGAUGAGCUGUAGUAUCUGCUUUGCAUGCAGAAGGUCCCAGGUUCAAUCGCGGCUUCUCCAGAUAGGGCUGGCAGAGACCUCUUGUCUACAACCCUAGACAGCUGCUGCCAGUCAGUGCAGAUUACACUAACAUAGAUGGAUCAAAGGCACAUGUGCCUGUGCUUAAAGAAAAUAAAAACGGGAAUUGUUCAAAAUGGUCUGGCUUUCUCCCAGACUACUAUAUCAGAUAGCAGUCUGGUUUGAAUGUAAUGCUAACCUGUAGUUUUAACUUUGCAAGAAUCAACUUGUUCAAACUUCUGGCUCACGUGCUUUUUUGCCUGCUGCCCCAGUUCUGCUGCGGCCAUGAGGAGAUUAGGAGUAUCCGCUUCCUGGUUUAAAAUAACCGGAAUUUCUCAUUGCAUUUGUACUGGGAACGUGGACUACUUUUAAACAAUGAUUUGUUGAAACAAGACAGGAUCACAUUUGCUCCUCGCUUGUUUCAGUUGCGUGUAAGACUGCUCAAGAAAUCUGGCGUAUAUAAAGCUUGACGUGCAUUUUUUCUUACACAGUUGAAAAAUAUAUAUAUAGAUUCAUUCUAGGCGUUUGUUUUACAAAAUAAAAAGAUUCAGGAAAGUAUUUUAUGUUGCAAUAAAGGAAGAGGGUGCAAUUUGUAUAUAUAACCUGUAUUGCAACUUAUUUUUAAAAUAGGCAAUUUGGUUUUGUCCAAUGCUAGUACUAUUCUGAGAGUAAUGGAUAUGAGUAACCUCAUUCUAGCCAUUUUAGUAGGUCACCUCUGAGGAAAAGUCAGUUGGAUAUAAUUCUCUGGGGGCAAAGUGUCAAAGUUUUGUUUGCUACUAAACUAAAGGCCGGUUUCCUUAAAAGGAAACAAGAUGGGUUCAAAUAGUUUGCUUUACUUCAGAAAUUUUUAACGCUGUUUCUGAUUCAUUUUUUCCCUGAGACCUGUGUGUAUAGGGUGGUAUACAAAUUUAAUAAAUGAUAAUAAUUUUAGAGACCUUUGUAUUACUCCCCCCUGAAAUGAGUGUACACUGGUACCUUGGUUUAAGAACAGCUUAGUUUAUGAACAACUUGGAUUAAGAAUGCUGCAAACCCAGAAGGAGGUGUUUCGGUUUGUGAACUUUGCCUUGGAAUAAGAACAUGUUUUGCUUCCUGUUGAGUGUGUUCCAUUUGUAAAUUGAGUCCUCCGCCACUAUGGGAAAGCAAGCCUUGGUUUAAGAACACUUUGGUUUAAGAACGGACUUCCUGAACAGAUUAAGUUCAUAAACCAAGGUACCACUGUACAUUUUACUCUUGUACAGUAGGCUGGUUUCUACACACACACACUUCUGUCUUCCAUCGAGGCAAGCAAGAGGCAUUAUCAGACCUCCAAGGACAUAUUCCAGCCUGGCAAAAAGACUCAAGGAAGAUACAAAGAAAGGCUGGUGAGGUGUGUGUCCUGGGGGGAGAGUCGUAGGGUUUGUAUAGAAAGACUUGGAUUUGGGUCCAGGCCUGAGAUUCCCCAUCCCUGUCAUGGAGAUGAAUGAGAUUGAAUUUCCAUUCACUUCAAGCAGACUUACACUAGUAAACUUGGCAAGGAAUCCCCCACCCACUAUAUUUAUUGAUAAUCUUGGAGCAGAUAUUUAUUUUGCCUCCCCCCCCCCAUGUUAGAUGCUGAAAUAUCUUUAAUGCUAUCGUUGAACUCAUGCUUGCAGAAAAAACAACCGCUCACCUACAUUUUGGUUCUUCUGAAGUGCCAUAAGAAUAAUAGUAAUGAUAAAUUAAAUGGUAUCUUUAUUUUCUUUCCCUGUUCCCUCCCAGCCUAUUUAUAUCUUAGACAUAGGCCAGGGUCUGCAAGCAUUUGCAUCAGUGUUUUGACACUGACAAAAACGCCACUUGAAAGGAAGCUAUUGAGGCUCUAAAGGCAUAAUGCAUCACAAAAAACUUUUUCUCCCCUUUGGGAUAUGACAUGUACAAGUUAGUUUGAUUUAUAUCUGUCAGCUAAGGAAGGAAGGAAUCUAAAAGUUAGCAUCACUUAAGAAGGAAAGGACAAAGGAAGAAGCAGAAGCAAGUAGAGAUUUCUGAGUUCAAACUUGGCUUGUGCCACCAGGAUAACAGUUUGCAAACAUGAUUGACCCUGUGUUUGGUAAUUCAGUGUUGCUUUAAAUUCCUGGGCAAAACCGACCCUAACAUUGGGCAGAGUGAAGCAACUGCCUCAGGCAGCAAAUGUCGGAGAGCAAGGAGUGGCUGUGAGGUUUUGGAGGAGAGUGUGCUCCAACAUUUGUCACCUGAGGCGGUUGCCUCAGUCUGCCCAAGGCUAGGGCUGGCCUUGCCCUUUUGUAGCCUGCCCUACACUCUCAAAGCUAGCUUGCUGCCCCUAUGGUAGUCAGUGUCGAAAUUAGAUUCAAUUGCCGCUCUGGUUGGCUUCUGAACGAGGAAUUUGGAGGGGAUGGAAUCAGGUCUUUUGCCUCAGGCAUCAAAAUGCCUUAGUCCACCCCUGUUUUGAGCGGCGAGGGGUGGGGGAGAACACUGGCCACACCUGAACUAUACAUUUAAAGCAUUAUGGUACCAUUUUUAAAAGCCAUUGCUUCCCCAAAUCCUGGGAGCUGUAAUUUGUUAAGGGUGCAAGAGUCCCCUGAUUCCUUCUCUUCUCAUAGAGCUACAAUUUCCAGAGUGAUUAAACAAUCAACCUGGCUUCUCAGGGAAAUCUAGGAAUUAUACCUCUGUGAGGAGAAUAGGGGUUGCCUGGCAACUCAUAGUGCCCUUUAUAAACUACAGUUCCCAGGAUUCUUUGGGGUGUGUUCAAUGACUGUUUAAAGUUGUAUGGCACUCCUUUAAAUGUAUGUUGCUGAUGUGGCAACUCUUCCCUUGACUCUGUUUUAUGUCUGCCCACCAAUUAAAAGAGUACCCCCGCCAGCUGAUUGUGUCUUGCUUUUAAUCAAUUAAUUAACCAAGUUAAAGCAAACAUUUCAGCAGCUCAGUAGCAGGGACGCUUGGAAGCCCUUUAAUGAAGACAACAGUUCCUUAUGGUUAAGCAGUAGAAGCAAAUAUUUGUUUCUGCUUAGAAGAGCAUCAUAAAUGGCGGUCGGGCCGCAGCCACUUAGGCUGGCAAGAUUAUCAGGUUUCAAGGUUUUCCUUCAAGGUGCAAACACGGCCAGUUUCUAGUUCGGCCAUCUUUGCAUAAGGAAACAUUUGUCAACUAAGUUUUCAGGUGUGAGGAUGAGGAAUAAUAGACUACGACAUGUGCCAAGGCCCUCCAUCACAUGGUUCUUCAAAUCUAAUGUAGACUUUGUAUCCAAAGAACCACAUCCAUUUCAAAGGAUGACUUUGUUUCAGUUAACAUAUCCCUAGUUCCGCCAUCCCUAUUUGUAUCACACUCCGUCCUCCAAUUGUGAUGGUCCCUUUUUUCUCACUGUAGUACUAAUAAUGCCAUUACAGACCUCACCAGUUGUCCUGUUUUAUUGUGCAUGUGUUCAUGAUGAUAUUGGGGCAAUUACACGCAAUCCCGGUUUCAAUACUGUUGGCGGUCGACAUACUACUUUGUGCGUGUCUUGUGGAUUCCUGCUUUUUGCACACAAGUGUUUGUAUUUUUGUUCACUUUUUGUUGCACUAUAGAGAACAUGAGGCGAGUCCUGCUGGAUCAGGCCAGCAGCCCAUCUAGUCCAGCAUCCUGUUCUCACAGUGGCCAACCAGGUGCCCCUAGGGGAAAUCCACAAUCCUGAGCCCAAGAGUGUUCUCCUCACUGGUGGCUUCCAGCAACUGGUUUUCAGAAUUAUUACUGCCUCUGACCAUGGAGGCAAAACAUAAUCAGCAGUAGCCGCCUCCACCAUGAAUUGUCCAGUUCUCUCUUAAAGCUAUCCAAGUAGGUGGCCACCGCUGCUUCCUGUGGGAGCCCGUUCCGUAGUUUAACCUUGCCCUGCGCAAAGGACUGCUUUUUACCUGUGCAAGAGUGCCCCUCCAGAUGGCAAUACAGUGGUACCUCGGGUUAAGAACUUAAUUCGUUCUGGAGGUCUGUUCUUAACCUGAAGCACCACUUUAGCUAAUGGGGCCUCCCGCUGCCACCGCCGCUGCGCGAUUUCUGUUCUCAUCCUGAAGCAAAGUUCUUAACCCGAGGUACUAUUUCUGGGUUAGCAGAGUUUGUAACCUGAAGCGUCUGUAACCUGAAGCAUCUGUAACCCGAGGUACCACUGUACUGCAAUAAGCAUUGCGGAACAACUAACAAAGCGGAUGUGUGGACAGUCCAGUGUAAAUGCACCACUAAUGCACCACUAUUCCGACAGUAUUUACAUGUUGCAGAAUGCACCUGCCAAAACCCACCAGUUUGGAGUGGUUUUACAUCUUCAUUUUAUGUAGAGAAGCGUCUAUUUCCCCCCCAUUUGCCUGUCACCUGUGCAAUAAUAGCCAGGGACGUGUGCUUAUUGCUGCAUCCUUUACCCAGGCCUCCAGACAAGCACCUCUCCUUCCUCCCCCCCCACUCCCCCCGCCCCCCCUGUGUGUCUGAAGGAUGCUCUAUCUCUUUGUAAUUACUGUUCUAUCAUUGUCUUGGCGUGGAAACAUCUGGUCUCCCCAGCAAUCUUCCACUUUUCUCCCAUAGCCACUAUUUCUUUUGAGGCUUUUCAUGGAUCAUAAUGACCUUCUCUUUUCCAUAAUGCCUCAUGUGUCUCUCCUUGUGCACAGCUGUUUCUUCCACCUUUCCAUCUCUUGCCAUCCCCCUCGAUAUUUUCCCCAUCAGCACCGUCCUCGUAUUCACAAUUUUUGCUCAUCUGCUUAUCAAAUCGAGGCUGCCUCUCCUGUCGCUGGUCAGCGCAAGCCUGCCAGCGUCCCUUGCAUCCUCCAAAAUGAAUCUUUCUCAUUUCAUCUCACGUCUUGAGGCCUUUGUUCUUCUGAAUUAACAUUUUAAAAAGUUAAUCUUCACAACCUUUGUGUCUUUGUUAUGUUGGACUUUCAAUUCUCUUGUACCACCUCCUUUUUCCUUUGCAGUAUCUUGAAGAAAAUUUGAGGAAAAGGGAAUAAAUUCCUUCUCAUUUACUUGGGUUUUUUAAAAAUAAAAAAAUAAUAAUUAUCUGAGUUGUUUAUUUUAUUAUUUAUAUCUUGCUUUUUUGUUUAAUUAAAAGUACAUCAAACAAAAAUAAUUUAAAAACAGUUCAUCCAUGCCCACAAUAAAAAUGGCAGCAGUUAAGCCAUCCAAAAGUCAGAGUUUCAUAAGAACAACCCCGGCCUCUCCCCAACAAACAGCAAAAUUAAAAUUGCAACCAGCAGAUCUUGUGUCGAAAGGCAGCUGGGAUAUAAAUGUAUAGACUUACUGUCUAAAGAGCAGAAAAGAAGGAACUUUUCAGAAAGUUUGCUUGAAGGAUUCCUUGAGGACUUUUCAGCCUCUUGAUUUCAUCAGCAAGCAAAUGUUUACGAAAGCUUAGUCAAAGAGCCUAGUGAAAGUAGUGGCAGAUGGAGAAGACUGUCUUGGCCUUGGCUUGCAUUGGAUGAAACCUCGCCCCAAUCUGGCCUGCACUGUGAAGGAAAAGGGUUUGGGGGCAGGGCCCCCAAAGGUGUCUUGUGACCCUCCAGAUGUUGUUUGACUCUAGUUCCCAUCAGUCCCAGCCAGCAGGGCCAUUGGUUAGGGAUGGUGGGAGUUUUGGAGGACCGCAGGUUCCCUACCCCUGCUUUAGGCCCUCAUCACGAUACAUCAGAAAUUUGGGGAGACAGCUUAAAGAUGAAGAACCCUCGGUGACCAUCGGUGACAGCCACCACCGAUGGAAGCAAAAGCACUGAAAAAGCUCAAUAUGGAGGCCAAAUGGCCGAAAUAUUGGGAAAUCUUGGAACAAGAGGGAGAUAGACUGAAAUUGCAGAGUUUUGAGAAACUAAAAAUCUUUGUGCUAGUUUGGCUUCAUUAUUAUCAGAUAAUGGAGGCAUAUAAUUCGGUCAAGAAAAUUGGCUUCCAGGUGGAAAAAUCAAAAUUAGAAACAGAACUGUUAGAACCCAAAACUAAGAUUUUGUCAAAGAUGUAUAACUUGCUGUUGAAAUGGAAUACUCAGGAUGAAACGGUGAAAUCUGCUAUGAUUAAAUGGGCACAAGAUGUUGGACAUAAUAUAAUGAUGGCUGACUGGGAACAGUUAUGGACCACAGGUAUGAAGUUUACGGCAUGUAAUGCCUUAAGAGAGAAUAUUAUGAAAAUGGUAUACAGGUGGUACAUGACUCCAGUCAAGCUUGCAAAAAUCUAUCAUUUGCCUGAUAAUAAAUGUUGGAAAUGUAAAGAAACUGAAGGUACAUUCUUUCACCUUUGGUGGACGUGCCCAAGGAUUAAGGCUUUCUGGGAGAUGAUCUAUAAUGAAUUGAAAAAAGUAUUUAAAUAUACCUUCUUGAAGAAACCAGAGGCCUUUCUCCUGGGCAUAGUCGGCCAAUUGGUGCCAAAGAAGGAUAGAACUUUUUAUGUAUGCCACAACAGCAGCAAGAAUACUCAUUGCAAAGUAUUGGAAGACACAAGAUCUACCCACUCUGGAAGAAUGGCAGAUGAAGGUGAUUGACUAUAUGGAACUGGCGGAAAUGACUGGCAGAAUCCGGGACCAGGGAGAAGAGUCGGUGGAAGAAGAUUGGAAGAAAUUUAAAGACUAUUUACAGAAAUAUUGUAAAAUUAAUGAAUGUUAGAAUGAUGUUGGAUAGAAAUUAAGUGGUUUUUAGCUGCAAUACUAUAAGGGAAUAUGAAAAAUGGAUUACUAACAGGUAAAAAUUUAAUGUUACAAUAUUUUAAGAUUAAUGAUUAGGAUAGACAAAGAGGGGAAGGAUUUGCUGAAUCAACAAACCGAACUGGAAUACAAAAAAGGGAGGCGUGAGGAGGUCUGGGAAACAAGCUAAUGAAAAAUAAGUAAUGGAAAGAUUGAGUUGUUUUUAACUAUUUUUAUUUUUUGUGUUUUUCUUUUUUCUAUUUUUAUUUUGUAAUAUUUUGAAAAUCUUAAUAAGUAUCUUAUAUAUAUAUAAAAAAAAGAUGAAGAACCCUAAGAAAGGAGACCCCUGCAGGGGCCGUGAAGUUGCCCAUCAACAGUUGGCAUCUGAGCAGCAGACUGAGAAGACACACCUGGUCACCACAAUGGUGAGAGAUGUGUUUGUAUGCAAAUUUUGCUCAUAUGCAAUUUUGCUUAUAUGCAAACCUAUGCCCUCUCUUUUGGUGAUGCUAUUGCACAUAGUUCCUACUCCCCCCCCCCCCGGCCCUGCACGAUUUUAUCCUUAACAACAGCUUUGAGAGGUAGUUCAGUCUGAGAGGGGUGGUUGGUGGCCGGGGUCUGUGCAAACACAUGCAUGGAAUGGCAACGUUUUUAAUAAGUCAUUAUUUUGUACUAUAGUUGCGUGUCUCUUCUGCAUUGGUCUCUACAGCCGCAGCAGGUUCUGUAACCUUCCAAUGGUUUGACUUCACCCCCAAAGGCGCACUCCUCCAUUGUCUCCUGAGACAUACGCCAACAAAAAUUGUAAAGAGUUUAGACUGUAUUUGUAGAUCUGUAUACACAGGUGGGACUGCAAAAUCAUAGAUUACAGAACAUAGGAACAUAAGGAAACUACCUUAUACUGAGUCAGAUCCUUGGUGUAUCUAGGUUAGCAUUGUCUACACUGGCUGGCAGCAGCUCUGCAGGGUUUCGGGCAGGGAGCCUCCCCUAGCCCUACCUGGAUAUACAAUUGGGGAUUGAACCAGGAGACUUAGGUAUGCAAAGCAAAUGCUCUAACUACUGAGCUACGGCCCCUUCUCUAAAAUCUGUUAAUCCCAAAAAUCAUCAUUGCCGGUUCCCCCUACCCUUUGCCACUGUGACAAAAAAGACAUAAUCUUCUAUUCUGUACUGUAUUUCCGAAUGUUUGUGUUUACCUAAAACAGCCUCCCUUCCUGGCCUACCUCGAUAGGCCUGUUCUUGGAAUGACUUUGCAGAAGUUUUGACACCUGGAGUGGAUGAUAGAGAAAUGAUUAUUUAUAUGUUGCUGCGUUGAGGUGGGGAGCAGGAGGAGAGAGAAGGGGAGGGGAUGCUUUGGGUGGGAACAGAGAAGAGGAUUAAUGAAUCAUGCAAUAAUUUUUCAGAUGCAGGAUGGUGGCGGGGGGGGGGGGGAGAACACAAUCCCUACAUACAUCAUGUUUUCACCCCCUUAUCGGGGGUAUCACAUUUAUGAAGAAAUAGCUUUGGUGUUUUGUUUUUUGCAUGCGCGUACCCUUUUUAUAAGGGGAGCAUAUUUAUAUAUAAAUAGGGCUGUAAAAAUCGUAGAUUAAGGAAUCUAUUCAUCCAAAAAAGAGUUAUGUGCCUGUCACGCUGCAUAAUGGCUGCCUGUUUCAGGGAGAAAAAUGUCUCUUUACGGAGACACACUGAGUACCACAUGGCUGCAAGUUGGCCAAGGUUUUCUAACCAAUGGUGAGUUGGCUUGCCUGGAAGCAUCUUGUGGAAAUGCGUAAAAGGCAGGGCAUAGCAGCAGGGUGGGAAAAUAGAUGCAGGGCGAUGGGGAUGCAGACCUCCCUGCGCCUCUCUUGGAAUGAGAAUAAUGCUAUAGCACCAGAGAGUUAUGGACAUCUUUAAAGCAGCCAGAUUUCAACCUGGAGUUCCUGUCUAAUAUGCAGGGACACCCACUGAGAGGGGGAGAUAAUUUCCCCAUCCCAGGUUUCAGACUGUGCAAGACAUAUACACGAGAUGCAGAAGGGUUGUAGUGCAGUGGCAGAACACCCCCCUUUGCAUGCAGAAGGUACCGUGUUCUCCAGGUAGGUCUGCUUGAAGCCCUGGAGAGAUGUUGCCAGUUAGUAUGGGCUAGUGGGAAAAAUGCUCUGACUUUGCAUACGGAACCUCCCUAUGUUCUGCGUGACCGAUUAUUAUGCAGUAUAAAAAGUAAUUAGUUGCGUAUCGUUUGCAAACUGAAAACAUCAAAAACAGUGGAUACCGAUUGUCUUUGCUGGACUGCUUUCUGUUCUGGACAUGGAGCAAAUAAGUUAACGCCAGCCAAUUUCUAUUCCUUUUUCUGUUUCUGUUGGAAUUCCCUGACAUCCCGAAUAGUACCCAAGGCCAGUCAAGGUAUUUUGGCGCCUGGAACAGAACGCAGGUGCCUCUUCUCCCUGGCAGUAAAAAUGCAACAGUAAUCAAUUAAUUGAAGAAACAUUUGCUGUUUUUUAAAAUGAUGCCUGAAAUCAGUUGCCUGAAGUAGCCACCUCAACCCGCAUAGGGAAUUGUCCUGCACUUUAAAGGUAAAGGGACCCCUGACCAUUAGGUCCAGUCGUGGCCGACUCUGGGGUUGCGGCGCUCAUCUCACUUUAUUGGCCGAGGGAGCUGGCGUACAGCUUCCGGUUCACGUGGCCAGCAUGACUAAGCCACUUCUGGCGAACCAGAGCAGCGCACAGAAAUGCCGUUUACCUUCCCGCUGGAGCGGUACCUAUUUAUCUACUUGCACUUUGAUGUGCUUUUGAACUGCUAGGUUGGCAGGAGCAGGGACCGAGCAACGGGAGCUCACCCCGUCACGGGGAUUUGAACCGCCAACCUUCUGAUCAGCAAGUCCUAGGCUCUGUGGUUUAACCCUCAGCGCCACCCGCGUCCCUCCAUCCUGCACUGUACCUCUCCCUAAAUGGUUGGACCAGCUAGACCUGAGGUCCUAACUGAUCAACAGGCAGAAGAUGAUUGCACCUGAUUGAAUGAGUUAUUCACUAUACUAAGCAGGUAACAUUUUGUUAUCUGGUCCUUGACGUUUUCAGAACCGUAUCUCCCAAAUUUCACUCCUGUCCUGUUUUUAUCCUUCAUUCCAUGUGAUUUCCUUCUCCAAGCCUUUUCCCAUCUCCCAACGAUGCAUCAGAAACCGCAGAAUGUUCAUCUCCCCGGUACUUGUAUUUUAAUAAGCAAAAGCCACAUCAGCCCAGCCAAUUUUGCAAUUCAGCACAUUAUUGCAAUUUGAACGACAGAGGUAUAAAAAUGAUUGGCAAUCUGGCAUUCCACUACAUCUUGGGCCACCUGCUUCCUGUUGCAUUGUAACAUAUUUUUCCUUAAAAAUGAGAAAUGUGUGUAUAUAUUUACCUUUAUCACUUUGCUGGGAGCAGCUAUUUCAUCAUCACCUUUGACUUGCAGAUUCCACAAACUCAAAAUGGCAAGUCCUUGUCGCUCCUGAUGGACACUUCGUCUUCUUCUUUUUUGCUUCCUACUGAAAAGAAGUCAUUAACUGUUUCAAAAUACAUAAUGUGCUGGUGGUUGCUUGGCUUAAACUCCAGCCAAAUAACCCUGCAUUUUACUAGUCUUGCAAAUUCUCUUUUUGGGAGAGCAACUCCCCCCUCCCCA